UACGAAGGGGGCUAGCGUUGCUCGGAAUCACUGGGCGUAAAGGGUGCGUAGGCGGGUCUUUAAGUCAGGGGUGAAAUCCUGGAGCUCAACUCCAGAACUGCCUUUGAUACUGAAGAUCUUGAGUUCGGGAGAGGUGAGUGGAACUGCGAGUGUAGAGGUGAAAUUCGUAGAUAUCGGGAGGAACACCAGUGGCGAAGGCGGCGACCUGGGCAGAUACUGACGCUGAGAUGCGAAAGCGUGGGGAGCAAACAGG
rnacentral:rRNA from 1 species